UCUGAUGGCUGCAGUAAGGGGCGCAGGUGCCUGAUCAUCUCGGGUAGCACGUGUACUCACCAUCUAUGAGAGAAUAGAAGACAGAAGUUUAGAAUUGUGAUGUCAAAAUAUCGCACGACAAGGAAAUCAAAUGAAGUGGAAAUUUUCCNNNNNNNNNNNNNNNNNNNNNNNNNUGUCGUGACGGCACUUAGUCUCUACGACUAGGUAAGCCUAACAAAUCCAGAAAAUAAACUAAACUUGCGGAAGAAAUAAUCAAAAGCCGAGAAUAACUGGAAGUAACAAUAUUUUAAAUGUCGCUCGACAUACACAACACAACUUCUCAAAAACUGAUACACUAUCCCAAAACCUGGAAACUCACAUAUCCACAAGCCUUUGGAUAUCUAACAAUGUCUAACUCAAGAAUAUCUAACAAAGUAAGAAAUACAGAAGGGAAAAUGUUUAAAAGCUAGAAUAGAAAGGGACUCCUCGGUCUGCAGACACGACAGAUGUACCUCGACGUCUCUAGAGUAGUCGCCUCACCUCAGGGUGGUAGGACUGAGUCGACGUACCUGGAUCUGCACAUGAAAAAAACAUGCGCAGAAAGGGCAUGAGUACACUACAGCGGUACUCAGUAAGUGUCAAGCCUAACCUCGACCGGGUAGUGACAAGGAAGGUCAGGGCCCUACUGAGAUUAACCAGAAAUAUAGAGUUCAACAGUAUAGAACAGAACAAUAUAAAUAAGUACAAUAGUGAAAAUAACACAGGAUAUACAUGACAGAAACAACUAUAAAAAAGCAAGACAAACACAGAAGGGAAUACAGCUCAGCACCAAUAAUAACAAAUUGGGGAUCUCCCAAGAUACCGUCCCGUAGUCCCAAAUACACAUAUCCGAUAACUCUCCCGAGAUACUGUCCCGUAGUCAAACUCAUAGUGUGCGGGGAUCUACCGGAAUCCCGUUCUGUAGUCCCAAAUGUAAAUACUCAGUACUGGGGAAUCUACCGGAUGCAGUCCCGUAGUUCAAUAUCACAGAUAAGGGGGAUCUACUGGAAUCCCACAUCCGUAGUCCCAAAUAAACAGGCUAGGGGGAUAUACCAGAAUCUCACAUCCGUAAUCCCAAAUGUAAAUACACAACAACAACAUGUAAAUAUAUUCAGCAAAUGUCAGUUUCAUAUUAAGGCAAACAAGUAAUUCUAGACUAGCAUGCUGCACAGAAUUCAAGUAAGGCAGUUUGAGCAAGUAAAGCAAUUAAGUCACUUAGACAUGCUUUCCUAAGCUAAUAACAGGCUUAAUAGGGCAAGUAAUAAAAACAGGAAAGGGAACAUACUAGUAAUUACUUAAAGAAAACAGGAUUUCCAACACGCACAAGGCAUUUCAAUUACCAAAUAUACCAAAUCCUAAGGGGAAGGUCCCACACACAAGGUUACACUCGGAAUCGGGUAAACUUUACAUUUCCAGAAUCCUCACACUCUCACAAGUCUAACCAUACCAAAAUUAUCCCAAUCCAAUGUCAAAUCCCCAAUCAAAACUCAAAUUCUUGGUCUAAGAACUUUCCCCCAAUUUUCAUACAAAUUCCGAAAUUAUAUGAUGAAUUCAUGUUUAGAUUAAUGGGUUACGAGCAAAAAGGAGUUAAGAAUCGUUACCCAAUCAAUAUCUCUCAAAAUCCCUCAAAACCUCGCUCAAAUCCGAGCUCCCAAGCUUAAGUUUUGAUAAAAAUGGUAAAACCCUCGAUUUUGAAAUUUUAUAUUCUGCCCAGAUAAUCCUUAAUCGUGAUCGCAGAACUCCCUACGUGAUCGCAUAAGACAACUCCCUCAAAGCAACCGAUCGCAACCAGCUCUAUGCGAUCGCAUAGAGCAAAUUCCAUCACCCACUGUCGCAUUAAAUCCUUCUACGCGAAUGCAAUGGUCCUCAUGCGAACGCAAUGACCAACAAACUCACCAUAUGUGAUCGCACUCCUUACUCUACGAGCACAACUCACAACAAAGUGCCUGGUCUCAGCUUACUCUACGCGAUCGCAGGUGAUCGCACGCGAUCGCAACGAACAAAUCACUGUUGCAGAAAUACUAGCAAACCUGCAAUCUCCCAAAGGCCAAAAGUGCCCGUUUGAGCAUCCGAAACUCACCCGAGCCCCCCGGGACCUCAACCAAACCUACCAACAUAUCCCAUAACUUCAUUCAAACUUGUUCCAACCUUCGGAACACUCAAAACAAUAUCAAAGCACCUAUUUUUGAUCGGAUGCAAGACUAAGAAUCCCAAAAACUCUAAAAAUAUGUUUUCGAUCAAAACGUCUAUCAAACCUCGUCCGAAUGACCUGAAAUUUUGCACACACGUCACAUUAAACACUAUGGAGCUACUCCAACUUCUAGAAUUCCAUUCCGUCCCUCGGAUCAAAAUCUCACUAUCGAACCGGAAACUUCAAAAAUUCAACUUUCGUCAUUUCAAGCCUAAAUUAACUAUGGACCUCCAAAACACAAUCCGAACACGCCCUUAAGCCUGAAAUCACCCAGCGGAGCUAACGGAACCAUCGAAUUUCCAUUCCGAUGCCGUCUUUACACUAAUCCGUCUACGGUCAACUUUCCAACACUUAAGCUCUCAUUUAGGGACUAAGUGUCCCAAAACUCUCCGAAACUCAAAACCGAACAUCCCGGCAAAUCAAAAUAGCAGAAAUAAACUUGGGGAGAGCAGUUAAUAGGGGAUUGAGGCGUUAAUUCAUAAGACGACCGGCCGGGUCGUCACAUUUUCUUUCCUCUCUUUUUCUUUCUGAUCACCCUUUUCUUUUCUCUCAUUUCUCACAUCCCAUAACUUCAUCUUUUCUUUUUCUUUUUCCUUUUUUUUUAAUUUCACAAAUAUUUGAUCGAACCCUAUGUAGGUUUCAUACGUAUCACGACGUCGCAUGAAUCAGAUCUUUACAUAGUUCGGGAAGAUCAGGAAUAAAGUAAAUAAAAUAAUUUAUUUUUUUAGAUUUUGAUUUUUUUUUUAUUUUUUUAAAAUUCCGAAAGAAAGACUUAUAAAGAAGAAAGAAAAUAUUUUUGGAUUUCAAUUUUUGUUUUGAAAUAUUUUUUGAUGUCGAUUUUUUGUUUGGUCUUUUUUUGGAAUUUUGAACGAAAAAACUUCUAAACCGCGUAGUUCGGCCAUUUUGACAUAACAGAGGAAACAUGACUUUUUUGAAAAUAUUGGCUUAUUUUCUCUCUUUUUUUGCAAUAUUUUGGCAGAGUUUCGAAAUUUUUCAAAUACCUAUCUCUCACUCUUGUUUUUUAUUUCUUUUUUAUUUUGUUUCCCUAUUCUAGAAGCUAAUCAACAUGCAAGCCGAAACAAAUAGAUGUACAAGUAGCACGCAAGAUGCAUCAAGAUGAUCUUUUAAUUUAAGCAAACAUAUCCUAGACAGACCUAACCCCUGUGUUGAGUCCCCCAAGUCAAAUGCAUGUGAUGAAAACGAACGUACCUACUAGGGAUCGGGCAUGAGGCUAUGUAAUUAUAGGUUUGAAUAAUGGGGUGUGUUGUUCUAGACCUGGGUUACCCAAGUGAAUAACUCGAGAGAAGGGGGCAACGUACCGUGAACCAAAAGGCCAUCCGGCUUUGUAACUGAUCCGAUCCUCAUUCUAAAUUAGGGUAUGACACUAAUAGAAAAGAAGUCACACCAGUGUGCACUUCCUAGAAGACUUAGAAGACUCAGAGAGAAGAAGGGUUUCAUAACAGUUUAUAUACAGUUCACACAAUAUCAAAGCAGUAAAAAGCAACAUUUAGCACAUUAGGCUCAAACACGUUAAAAAUCAGAUAAUAAACAAAAGUCAACAAUAACAGUUAUUCUAAGCUCGAAUUCUGAACCCUGAAACAGAAGUUCUGGGUUCUACUUCCCAGCAGAGUCGCUAGAGCUGUCACACCUCCUUUUUUCCGAGGGGAUAGGGAGUUUUUUUUAAUUUAAGUGACAUUAAUCGAAAUGGAAUUAUUUAAUUAAUCAGAGUCGCCACUUGGAAUAAUUUGUGGUAUCCCAAGUCAUCGGUUUAUUUUAAAUCCCAAAUCGAGGAAAUUUGACUCUUAUUUAUGGUCCGCGAACACAAAAGACCGAGUAAGGAAUUCUCCUAACCCGAGAGAAGGUGUUAGGCAUUCUACGGUUCCGUAGUUUUAGCACAGACGCUCAACUAUUAAUAAUUGGCCUAACUAUCUGAUCUAAUACAUAUUUAAAAUUUAUUAUCCAUUUUUAACUUUCUAACCGCUUUUAAUUAAUUUAAUUGUCUUUUAGUAUUUAUGGAAUUUAUUUGAACAAGUCGUGAUAUCGCGCACUCGUUUAUUUUUGUACAUAUUGUGAAUCGCGUCAUGUGAAAUGCACUCGCGAUUUACAACAUAUUUAUUUUAUUAUUAUUUGAAGUCGUGGCCGAGUCAUGUGAAACACACACUCGAAUUUGGAAUUUAAUAACCAUGCCUUCCAGUGGCAUCGGUUUAUCAAAUGGAAUCGAGUCAUCGGUUUAUCAAAUGGAAGGCAUGGUUAUUAAAUUUCAUCCUAAAUCAGUAGUUUAGGAUGAGCAAUUUGUUGUAGAAGGAUAAUUAACAAAAUAGAAGGUCUUAGUUAAUCCCUACACCGGUUGCCUUGAAUGGAAGAUAUUAUUAACAUUAAUGCAAGAAAUGCAAUAAAUGCCCACUGGAAGGCAUGGUUAUUAAAUUUCAACAACAAAGUAAUUGCUUAAACUGAUUUUAAGACCAAUAAACACAUGUUUUUGGAAAAUCAACAUGAUCAUUCAACCAACCUAUUUCUUGUGCAAUCCUAGGGGACGAACAAAAUACUCAAAGGAGCUGGUUAUGAAUGUAACAAAAGUACAAUUCUUAAAACGCGAAGAUCAAAGUGUAUUUUAACAUGAAACAUGAAGGCAAAUUGGUGCAAGCGUCAAGCAGAUACUAGAAAAGACAAACAGAUCAAGGUAUUAAUAAGCUAGAGACGAGUCGAUCUAUCCCGCAAACUAAAGUAUAAUCUGAACGCUUCAUUUUCCAACUAUUCACGCUCAAACAUUUCGAACACCAAGCAAAUUAUCAAAUGACAAGAGCAGAAUUUCCAGUCUAGAAAUAAAUUUCCCAUGACUUUUUCAUACUUUAAUCACACCAAAUAAAAUAAAUGAGAAUCAAGAAAUGGACCUGAAUAAGAGUUCUUAAUUAUUUCUGCUCGAAAUCACCUCAAGUGAGUACAACAGCGAAAAGUCGAAAGAAAUCAGUAAUAAAGCAACAAAACAAAGCUGAGACCACGAACUAGUAGCGAAACUCGAUUUGGCAACAGAAAUCUCCAAUCGGCAAACGAACUCAGAACCAAACCUUAAUCGAAGUCGAUCUAGAACUUUUCUCCUCUCCCUCUGUCCCGAUUUUUUGUCUCUCUCGUGAGUGUGUGUGUCUAGCCGAUUCUUUUUGAAUGAGGGGAGGUUGCGGCUGAUUUCUCUAAGAUUGAGAGAGAUCUGGAAGCUGAAGGUUUUUCAAUAAGGUGGGGUGUUGUUGUCUCGUUUGGAGCUGGAUUAAUAGUGUUUGAAGGCUGGUUGACAGUGGGGAAAUGGUAGGCGACGGCUGGAGGUACUGCUCAGUUAGAAAAUGGGGUGAGAGAUCGCUGGGUGUUUUCUUAGUGGGUUGAAGGAAAAUCGGGGGGGGGGGGGGGUGCAGCUGGAAUCAGUCUUAGGUCUAGGGUUCCCCUCCUUUG
rnacentral:lncRNA from 1 species